UCUGGCAACUCAUACUAGAUCCGAUGGGUCUCUCCCUUCACAGGAGCUGAGCAUCACAACGGAAAAAAUAAAAGACAUAGUUGCCAUUGACCCGGCUUGUAUACAUAAUGAUUUAAAUCACGACCCGGUUGCACAGGUUUGUCGUCUUGAUAAAAGAGGACGUGUAAGGGGGUUGGGUCAUAUUGCAAAAACUACCAUUAUUGCUUCAACCCCUUACAUUAAUGAAAUUAGAGAAGGAAAGGGCGAAAUUGCCGAGGUUAAAGCAUCGAUGAUUGUAUUAAAAGAGCAAAUGGAAAACAAGAUCAAUGAGUGAAAGGACAUGAUAUUGACCAUUGGAGAACGUUUUCUUGAAGUUCAGAAUCAAAUAAAUACUCCAGUUCAACCAAUGCAAUGCUUUCUAGGCACUGCUGGUUCUCAGCUUUUCAUCUUCUUAUGCGUGACAGAAGGUACACAUUUCUAUUAUGAUUUAUUUUAAUUUUUUCUUUGCUUAUGCGUAAAAUGUUCUGAUUUAAAUAUUAAGAACUACGUAGUGGCUUGAUCCCAAUCUUCUAAACAUUGGGUACGUAGGCAGCCGUUCAUACUAGACCGUAUCGGUGCAGCCAUAAAAUUUUUAUUUUUUUUCCCUUCUCGUAGUAUGGAUGCAUU